AAACCAUCUCUGGCUACGGAAGUUUAAAUCUUAACUGGUCCAGCUUGCUCUUUAUCACUGAAGGACAAUCCAAGGCUAUUUUAUUAUCAGAAGCAGUGAGCAUGUGGGACCUGGACAAUGGUACGAUGUUGUCUGUCUUUACUCCUGACUCCAAGAUCCAGACUAUCUCUCUGCAUGGACCUGACAACAGCACACUGCUCUUGGGCUUUAGUGACAUCUCUACUCUAAUCUCCAUGACCGUCAGCAAACAAGAUGUACACACAAAGUCCAUCACAGCUAACGGAAAAGAUCUGUUUGGGGAAUCCAGCAGUAGUGAAGAUGAGGAAGAUUAAGAAAAAAGCAAGAACUGAUAGGAAUUCAGAGAUUCAGUCUGAAUGGGAAUAAAGUACUUUAAGAUCUUUUACAUUCACCUUGUAUUGAAGGACUCAAGAGAUAAUAUUAUUUGUACGCUGGAAAUGCGAAAGUAUGUGACUUCUAUCUUCAAGUCUAAGAAGAGAAAAGCGACGCAUUACGAUCAGCAUUUCCAGUGCUCGUUUUUCCACAUACUAUGAAUUUACCAGAACUUCCCCGCCUUACCCUGGGAGUCAUGAGAUCCAGAGGUUAUGACAAAACAAAUCUCAGCAAGCGUGUGCUUUCAUGUUACGUGAUUUCAAUGCAUUUUCGUAAAAAAAAAGUCAUAUAUUCGUAGGCCCGUUUUAAGAGACCUAAUUGCCUUUGUGAAAACUCUGACGUUUGGGUGUGUAUUAAGACAUGCUUAAACAGGCUCUACUUUAGUAAGUGUCAUGCCUGGUGAGUCAAAUUUUCACUUCCUGCAUUUGUCACAUGAUAGAUAAGCAAAAUAACAACAACUUCCUGCUUAGAUUAAUUUAUAAGGGGUUUUUAACAACUGCAUUUAUAUUUUCAAAGCAAAUAAAAAUGAACCGAUGCCA